GAACUAUGAAGUUAAAAAAUGGAAAUUAAUCUAAUUUCUGUAAUACAAUGAUCAUGUAUCAUAAAUUAUUUGAGUUCUCGAUGGAGUAUGUUGCCUCAAAUUCGUGGAUCUCAAGCUUUGGUAAGGAUCAUUUGGAUCAAGAUUACGUGGUGUAACUUCUUCUUCUUCUCCAUGCUCACCCGCCAUUGUUGUUCCGAACUGUUGCACUACCAAAACUGAAGUUGUUGCCGCAAAAUCCGAUGAGGCUAGCAAAUCGCCUAUUGCUCCCAGCUCUGGACAUUCACUCCAGUCCGUUAGUCCGGCAGUGAGGGGUGAUAUGUGAGAUUCACCUCUACCAACGAUGAACAGGUCGUGAGCAUCGUUCAUUGAUCUUAUGGCCGCCACUGUCUCUUCGCCGUUGUUCAACACUUUUUCUGUGGCUUCUCUAUCAUCUUGCCCACCAAAGAACAACACGAUUAUGUUAUAAUGAGUUCCUUUGUUUGAUGUGGCUCGAUUCGCGCCGUUUAAGCCUCGAUCGACUAGGAUUCCGACGGAGCAAGGGGCAUUAGCUAAUACAUUUUGGUUUACCAAUCUAAAUGCUGGAUUUGAGGCUUCCAUUCCUCCAUCCACUGUUUGUUGUUUAUGGAAUGGGAUGAUUAUGAACGCAACUCGUUUAUCUUCAGCUAAAUUGCAGAUGUCUUCGUGCAUUGUGGAGUAAGGGGAAAUGGCGGUGAGAGGGCGGCCUGAUUUUCUGGUGUUGUGGACAAUGAGCAUGGCGGAGGCUCGACCUGUGAGUUCAACCAAGUGUAGCACGUAAAUGCAAAUUGGGGAUCUUUUAGUUGGAUGGGAAGCAUCAAGGAGGUUGAUGAUAGUUGGCACAUUUCGAGCUAAAGCAGUGGAGUUGUCACCAAAUCUCAACUUGAGAGAUUGCCACAUGGUUCACCACUUUCUUAUUAAAGCCACCAAGUUCUCUAUAUUUGAUUUUCAUUUUGUUCCUAGAUGUUACAUUAUAUUUUGCCACCUAAUUUCAAAUCUAGUUUAUUUUCAAAACUUUUUCUACUUCGUUGUGUUAUUCUUGAAGAGCAACUCGUGUGAGAUGCUUACUAUUGAAAUUGUGUCACAAUUACUUUCAA